rnacentral:rRNA from 1 species
UACGGAGGAUGCGAGCGUUAUCCGGAUUUAUUGGGUUUAAAGGGUGCGCAGGCGGUCUGUUAAGUCAGCGGUCAAAGCCCGGGGCUCAACCCCUGAACUGCAUUUGAAACUGUCGUUCUUGAGUACUGGAGAGGUUGACGGAAUUCCUAGUGUAGCGGUGAAAUGCGUAGAUAUUAGGAGGAACACCAGUGGCGAAGGCGGUCAACUGGACAGCAACUGACGCUGAGGCGCGAAAGCGUGGGGAGCAAACAGG